rfam:Chloroflexi bacterium RBG_19FT_COMBO_50_10 rbg_19ft_combo_scaffold_2003, whole genome shotgun sequence.
CGAUAAGAAUACGCUUCGCCCGAGACAGCAGGUGCGUGAAAAUCGCUUAAUUACCUGCCGAGGUGAGGAUAUCUCCAGAAAUAAUGAACCCGCACUUAGCGGGUGAAGCAAUUAUGAGCGGAGAGUCUUUGCCAGGCACUGGUUGCGAGGCAAAGACUUUUUAUUUGGAAAG